AUUGAACGCUGGCGGCAGGCUUAACACAUGCAAGUCGAGCGGGGUGAUGUAGCUUGCUACAUUACCUAGCGGCGGACGGGUGAGUAAUGCUUAGGAAUCUGCCUAUUAGUGGGGGACAACAUUCCGAAAGGAAUGCUAAUACCGCAUACGCCCUACGGGGAAAGGCAGGGGAUCUUCGGACCUUGCGCUAAUAGAUGAGCCUAAGUCAGAUUAGCUAGUUGGUGGGGUAAAGGCCUACCAAGGCGACGAUCUGUAGCGGGUCUGAGAGGAUGAUCCGCCACACUGGGACUGAGACACGGCCCAGACUCCUACGGGAGGCAGCAGUGGGGAAUAUUGGACAAUGGGCGAAAGCCUGAUCCAGCAAUGCCGCGUGAGUGAUGAAGGCCUUCGGAGUUGUAAACUACCUGUCAUGAAAGAACAAG
rnacentral:rRNA from 1 species